rnacentral:tRNA from 1 species
GGGAAGGUGGCUCAGUGGUAGAGCGCUUGCCUUGCAUGCA